GCGAGUGAAGCGGGAAAAGCUCAAAUUUGGAAUCUGGGUAGGCAACGCCNGCUCCUACCCCGAAUUGUAAUUUAUAGAGGCAUGAUCCGUCAGGCGGCAAGCGUUGGUCCAAGUCAGGUGGAAUCCUGUGCCAUAGAGGGUGAUAGCCCCGUAGGACCUUGUGCUGACCGUCCACUGUGACAUGUCUUCAACGAGUCGGAAUGUUUGGGAUUGCAUUCCUAAAUGGGUGGUAAGCUCCAUCUAAAGCUAAAUACUGGCGAGAGACCGAUAGCGAACAAGUACCGUGAGGGAAAGAUGAAAAGCACUCUGAAGAGAGAGUGAAAUAGUACGUGAAAUUGCUGAAAGGGAAACGCUUACGACCCGACAGUGCAGCGUGGGGGUGGUUGCUCACCAGGUUCUUUGGGACCUGGGGAUUCUCUAUGCCCUCACAGCUCAGGCCAACAUCAGUUUCUAUUUUGAAGGGUAUCAGAAAGGCGCUUGGGAAUGUAGGUCGGCCUUCGGGCUUACUGUUAUAGCCCUUGUGUUGGAUAGAUGGCUCUGGGGACUGAGGACUGCGGUGCGCUUCCGCAUUGGGCGGCCAUUU
rnacentral:rRNA from 1 species